rnacentral:sRNA from 12 species
GCAAAAGCCAAAAAAAUAACCGCAAAAAAUUAGUAUUCUUUUCGCGCACACAAGCCGCACCGUCUCCACCGUCCACCGACGGAAAACACCCCCUCAGACA